UACAGAGGGUGCGAGCGUUGUCCGGAAUUACUGGGCGUAAAGGGCGCGUAGGCGGUUCGGUAAGUAGGAGGUGAAAUUUCGGGGCUCAACCCUGAAACUGCCUUCUAAACUGCCGAACUGGAGCACGGUAGAGGCAGAUGGAAUUCCCGGUGUAGCGGUGGAAUGCGUAGAGAUCGGGAAGAACACCAGUGGCGAAGGCGGUCUGCUGGGCCGUUGCUGACGCUGAGGCGCGAAAGCCAGGGGAGCGAACGGG
rnacentral:rRNA from 1 species